rnacentral:tRNA from 1 species
GUUUUAAUAGUUUAAUAUAAAAUAUUGGUCUUGUAAACCAAAGAUAAAUUUUUUUUUAAAACA